rnacentral:rRNA from 1 species
AUUGAACGCUGGCGGCAGGCCUAACACAUGCAAGUCGAACGGUAACAGGCUGAUGUUUGCUUCUUUGCUGAUGAGUGGCGGAUGGGUGAGUCAUGUCUGGGAUACUCUUUGCUGGAGGGGGAUAUCUACUGGAUACGGUUGCUAAUACCGCAUAACGUCGCCUGACUAAAAAGGGGGACCUUCGGGCCUCUUGCCAUCGGAUGUGCCCAGCUGGGCUUCGCUUGUAGGUGGGGUAACGGCUCACCUAGGGGACGAUCUCUAGCUGCUGUGAGAGGAGGACCAGCCACACAGGAGCUGAGAGACGAUCCAGAGACCGACGGGAGGCAGCAGUGGGGAAGAUUGCACAAAGGGCGCAAGCCUGAUGCAGGCAUGGCGCGUGUAUGAAGAAGGCCUUCGGGUGGUAAAGUACUUUCAGGGGGGAAGAAGGGAGUAGAGUUAAAAGCUGUGCUCAUUGAGGUAACCGGCAGAAGAAGCACCGGCAAACACCGG